rnacentral:rRNA from 1 species
GAGUUUGAUCCUGGCUCAGGACGAACGCUGGCGGCGUGCUUAACACAUGCAAGUCGAGCGAUGAGAUCCCUUCGGGGAUGGAUUAGCGGCGAACGGGUGAGGAACACGUGAAGAAUCUGCCUUCAACUCUGGGAUAACACCGGGAAACCGGUGCUAAUACCGGAUAUGAGCCUUGAUCGCAUGAUCGGGGCUGGAAAGUUUUUCGGUUGAAGAUGACUUCGCGGCCUAUCAGCUUGUUGGUGAGGUAAUAGCUCACCAAGGCGACGACGGGUAGCCGGCAUGAGAGGGCGACCGGCCACACUGGGACUGAGACACGGCCCAGACUCCUACGGGAGGCAGCAGUGGGGAAUAUUGGGCAAUGGAGGAAACUCUGACCCAGCGACGCCGCGUGCGGGAUGAGGGCCUUCGGGUUGUAAACCGCUUUCAGCAGGGAAGAAGCGAAAGUGACGGUACCUGCAGAAGAAGCACCGGCUAACUAUGUGCCAGCAGCCGCGGUAAUACAUAGGGUGCAAGCGUUGUCCGGAAUUAUUGGGCGUAAAGAGCUCGUAGGUGGUUAGUUACGUCGGAUGUGAAAAUCUAGGGCUCAACCCUAGACCCGCAUCCGAUACGGGCUAGCUUGAGUUUGGUAGGGGAGACUGGAAUUCCUGGUGUAGCGGUGGAAUGCGCAGAUAUCAGGAGGAACACCAAUGGCGAAGGCAGGUCUCUGGGCCAAUACUGACACUGAGGAGCGAAAGUGUGGGGAGCGAACAGGAUUAGAUACCCUGGUAGUCCACACAGUAAACGAUGGGCACUAGUUGUGGGAACCUUCCACGGUUUCUGCGACGCAGCUAACGCAUUAAGUGCCCCGCCUGGGGAGUACGAUCGCAAGAUUAAAACUCAAAGGAAUUGACGGGGCCCCGCACAAGCAGCGGAGCAUGCGGCUUAAUUCGACGCAACGCGAAGAACCUUACCAAGGCUUGACAUAUACAGGAAUAUGGCAGAGAUGUCAUAGCCGCAAGGUCUGUAUACAGGUGGUGCAUGGCCGUCGUCAGCUCGUGUCGUGAGAUGUUGGGUUAAGUCCCGCAACGAGCGCAACCCAA